CCUACGGGAGGCAGCAGUGGGGAAUAUUGCACAAUGGGCGCAAGCCUGAUGCAGCCAUGCCGCGUGUGUGAAGAAGGCCUUCGGGUUGUAAAGCACUUUCAGCGGGGAGGAAGGCGGUGAGGUUAAUAACCUCAUCGAUUGACGUUACCCGCAGAAGAAGCACCGGCUAACUCCGUGCCAGCAGCCGCGGUAAUACGGAGGGUGCAAGCGUUAAUCGGAAUUACUGGGCGUAAAGCGCACGCAGGCGGUCUGUCAAGUCGGAUGUGAAAUCCCCGGGCUCAACCUGGGAACUGCAUUCGAAACUGGCAGGCUAGAGUCUUGUAGAGGGGGGUAGAAUUCCAGGUGUAGCGGUGAAAUGCGUAGAGAUCUGGAGAAAUACCGGUGGCGAAGGCGGCCCCCUGGACAAAGACUGACGCUCAGGUGCGAAAGCGUGGGGAGCAAACAGGAUUAGAUACCCGUGUAGUC
rnacentral:rRNA from 1 species